rnacentral:sRNA from 1 species
ACUGGGCAUGGUGAUGCACGCCUGUAAUCCCAGCAGCUCAGGAGGCUGAGGUAGGUGGAUCGUGAGUUCAAAGCCAACCUCAGCAAGAGUGAGGUGCUAAGCAACUCACAGAGACCCUGUCUCUA